rnacentral:rRNA from 1 species
UCGAGGAUCUUCGGCAAUGCGCGCAAGCGCGACCGAGCGACGCCGCGUGGGCGACGAAGGCCUUCGGGUUGUAAAGCCCUGUCGGGGGGGAGAAAGCCGCAAGGUUGAUCUAUCCCCGGAGGAAGCACGGGCUAAGUUCGUGCCAGCAGCCGCGGUAAGACGAACCGUGCGAACGUUGUUCGGAAUCACUGGGCUUAAAGGGCGCGUAGGCGGGUCGAAAAGUCGGCGGUGAAAUCCCCCCGCUCAACGGGGGAACGGCCGCGGAUACUGUCGGCCUCGAGGGGGGUAGGGGCGAGCGGAACACUGGGUGGAGCGGUGAAAUGCGUUGAUAUCCAGCGGAACUCCGGUGGCGAAGGCGGCUCGCUGGACCUUCUCUGACGCUGAGGCGCGAAAGCCAGGGGAGCGAACGG